UUUGAGUGAUGCCCAUUUUGAU
rnacentral:siRNA from 1 species